rnacentral:ncRNA from 2 species
AAAUAUCACAAGGAGUGCUAACCUUAGCUGAGAUUGCAUUUGCAAAAUCCUAUGGACCUGAUCUAGUUAAUACUAGCGUGGGAAUGUGAUUCGUUUCAUGA